rnacentral:rRNA from 1 species
CCUACGGGGGGCAGCAGUGGGGAAUAUUGGACAAUGGGGGCAACCCUGAUCCAGCCAUGCCGCGUGUGUGAAGAAGGCCCUCGGGUUGUAAAGCACUUUCAGUGAGGAAGAACGCCUGGUGGUUAAUACCCAUCAGGAAAGACAUCACUCACAGAAGAAGCACCGGCUAACUCCGUGCCAGCAGCCGCGGUAAUACGGAGGGUGCGAGCGUUAAUCGGAAUUACUGGGCGUAAAGCGCGCGUAGGUGGCUUGAUAAGCCGGUUGUGAAAGCCCCGGGCUCAACCUGGGAACGGCAUCCGGAACUGUCAAGCUUGAGUGCAGGAGAGGAAGGUAGAAUUCCCGGUGUAGCGGUGAAAUGCGUAGAGAUCGGGAGGAAUACCAGUGGCGAAGGCGGCCUUCUGGACUGACACUGACACUGAGGUGCGAAAGCGUGGGUAGCAAACAGGAUUAGAUACCCUUGUAGUC